CCUACGGGAGGCAGCAGUGGGGAAUAUUGGACAAUGGGCGAAAGCCUGAUCCAGCAAUGCCGCGUGAGUGAUGAAGGCCUUAGGGUUGUAAAGCUCUUUUACCAGGGAUGAUAAUGACAGUACCUGGAGAAUAAGCUCCGGCUAACUCCGUGCCAGCAGCCGCGGUAAUACGGAGGGAGCUAGCGUUGUUCGGAAUUACUGGGCGUAAAGCGUACGUAGGCGGUUAUUCAAGUCAGAGGUGAAAGCCUGGAGCUCAACUCCAGAACUGCCUUUGAAACUAGAUAGCUAGAAUCUUGGAGAGGUGAGUGGAAUUCCGAGUGUAGAGGUGAAAUUCGUAGAUAUUCGGAAGAACACCAGUGGCGAAGGCGACUCACUGGACAAGUAUUGACGCUGAGGUACGAAAGCGUGGGGAGCAAACAGGAUUAGAUACCCUGGUAGUCCACGCCGUAAACGAUGAUAACUAGCUGUUCGGGCUCUACGAGCUUGAGUGGCGCAGCUACGCAUUAAGUUAUCCGUCCGUCGGGAGGUACGGUCGCGAAGAAUUAAACUACAAUAGAAGUUAGUACGGCGUGAGACGUAGCCGACGACGACGACGAGGGAGGUUAGG
rnacentral:rRNA from 1 species